rnacentral:rRNA from 1 species
CGGGUGAGUAACACGUGAGCAAUCUGCCCUUGACUUUGGAAUAACCAUUGGAAACGAUGGCUAAUGCCGAAUAUGACCCCGGACCGCAUGGUUUGGGGUGGAAAGCUCCGGCGGUCAGGGAUGGGCUCGCGGCCUAUCAGCUUGUUGGUGAGGUAAUGGCUCACCAAGGCAUUGACGGGUAGCCGGCCUGAGAGGGUGACCGGCCACACUGGGACUGAGACACGGCCCAGACUCCUACGGGAGGCAGCAGUGGGGAAUAUUGGACAAUGGGCGAAAGCCUGAUCCAGCAACGCCGCGUGAGGGAUGACGGCCUUCGGGUUGUAAACCUCUUUCAGCAGGGACGAAGCGAGAGUGACGGUACCUGCAGAAGAAGGACCGGCCAACUACGUGCCAGCAGCCGCGGUAAUACGUAGGGUCCGAGCGUUGUCCGGAAUUAUUGGGCGUAAAGGGCUCGUAGGCGGUUUGUCGCGUCGGGAGUGAAAACUCAGGGCUCAACCCUGAGCGUGCUUCUGAUACGGGCAGACUAGAGGUAUUCAGGGGAGAACGGAAUUCCUGGUGUAGCGGUGGAAUGCGCAGAUAUCAGGAGGAACACCGGUGGCGAAGGCGGUUCUCUGGGAAUUACCUGACGCUGAGGAGCGAAAGCAUGGGGAGCGAACAGGAUUAGAUACCCUGGUAGUCCAUGCCGUAAACGUUGGGCGCUAGGUGUGGGGACCUUCCACGGUUUCCGUGCCGCAGCUAACGCAUUAAGCGCCCCGCCUGGGGAGUACGGCCGCAAGGCUAAAACUCAAAGGAAUUGACGGGGGCCCGCACAAGCGGCGGAGCAUGCUGAUUAAUUCGAUGCAACGCGAAGAACCUUACCUGGGUUUGACAUA